GACGAACGCUGGCGGCGUGCUUAACACAUGCAAGUCGAACGGAAAGGCCCUGCUUUUGUGGGGCGCUCGAGUGGCGAACGGGCGAGUAACACGUGAGUAACCUGCCCUUGACUUUGGGAUAACUUCAGGAAACUGGGGCUAAUACCGGAUAGGAGCUCCUGCUGCAUGGUGGGGGUUGGAAAGUUUCGGCGGUUGGGGAUGGACUCGCGGCUUAUCAGCUUGUUGGUGGGGUAGUGGCUUACCAAGGCUUUGACGGGUAGCCGGCCUGAGAGGGUGACCGGCCACAUUGGGACUGAGAUACGGCCCAGACUCCUACGGGAGGCAGCAGUGGGGAAUAUUGCACAAUGGGCGGAAGCCUGAUGCAGCAACGCCGCGUGCGGGAUGACGGCCUUCGGGUUGUAAACCGCUUUCGCCUGUGACGAAGCGUGAGUGACGGUAAUGGGUAAAGAAGCACCGGCUAACUACGUG
rnacentral:rRNA from 1 species